GCGAACGUCGGGACGGGAGGCGGGGUAAGGUGGAGGGUGGCAGCGUUGUGCGGAAUUAUGGGGUGUAAAGGGUUCGUAGGCGGUGUGGCAAGUCGGGAGUGAAAUCGCUGGGCUCAACGCAGAGGGUGGUUCCGAAACUGCUGUGCUUGAGUGUGGGAGAGGCGCGUGGAAUUGCAGGUGUAGCGGUGAAAUGCGUAGAUAUCUGCAGGAACACCCGUGGCGAAAGCGGCGCGCUGGACCACUACUGACGCUGAGGAACGAAAGCUAGGGGAGCAAACAGGAUUAGAUACCCCAGUAGUC
rnacentral:rRNA from 1 species